rnacentral:rRNA from 1 species
CUACGGGGUGCACCAGUGAGGAAUAUUGGUCAAUGGGCGUAAGCCUGAACCAGCCAAGUAGCGUGAAGGAUGACUGCCCUCUGGGUUGUAAACUUCUUUUAUAGGGGAAUAAAGUGCAUCACGUGUGAUGUUUUGUAUGUACCCUACGAAUAAGGACCGGCUAACUCCGUGCCAGCAGCCGCGGUAAUACGGAGGGUCUGAGCGUUAUCCGGAUUUAUUGGGUUUAAAGGGUGCGCAGGCGGGAUGUUAAGUCAGUUGUGAAAGUUGGACGCUCAACGUUCAAAUUGCAAUUGAAACUGGCAUUCUUGAGUGCAGUGGAGGUAAGCGGAAUUCGUGGUGUAGCGGUGAAAUGCUUAGAUAUCACGAAGAACUCCGAUUGCGAAGGCAGCUUGCUAUACUGCAACUGACGCUCAUGCACGAAGGUGUGGGUAUCAAACAGGAUUAGAUACCCGUGUAGUC